rnacentral:rRNA from 1 species
ACAAGCGGUGGAGCAUGUGGUUAAUUCGAAGCAACGCGAAGAACCUUACCAGGUCUUGACAUCCCUGACAACCCGAGAGAUCGGGCGUUCCCCUUCGGGGGACAGGGUGACAGGUGGUGCAUGGUUGUCGUCAGCUCGUGUCGUGAGAUGUUGGGUUAAGUCCCGCAACGAGCGCAACCCUCGACCUUAGUUGCCAGCAUUCAGUUGGGCACUCUAAGGUGACUGCCGGCUAAAAGUCGGAGGAAGUGGGGAUGACGUCAAAUCAUCAUGCCCCUUAUGACCUGGGCUACACACGUGCUACAAUGGGCGGUACAAAGGGUCGCGAACCCGCGAGGGGGAGCCAAUCCCAAAAAGCCGCUCUCAGUUCGGAUUGCAGGCUGCAACUCGCCUGCAUGAAGCCGGAAUCGCUAGUAAUCGCGGAUCAGCAUGCCGCGGUGAAUACGUUCCCGGGCCUU